rnacentral:rRNA from 1 species
AAUUUAUAAUAGAAUUUUAUUUUUUAGUCAAAAAGCUAAAAUUUUAUUAAAAGACGAGAAGACCCUAUAAAUCUUUAUAAUUUUAUAAAUUUUAAUUUAUUUAGAUAAAUUUUAUUUUAAUUUAUAAAAUUAUUUUAUUGGGGUGAUAUUAAAAUUUAAAAAACUUUUAAUUUAUAGUUUUCAUAAAUAAAUGUAUUGUUGAUCCAUUAAUAAUGAUUAAAAAAUUAAGUUACUUUAGGGAUAACAGCGUAAUUUUUUUUGAGAGUUCUUAUUGAUAAAAAAGUUUGCGACCUCGAUGUUGGAUUAAGAUAUAAUUUUAAAUGCAGAAGUUUAAAUUUUAAGUCUGUUCGACUUUUAAAUUCUUACAUGAUCUGAGUUCAAACCGGCGUAAGCCAGGUUGGUUUCUAUCUUUAAUAAAUUAAAAUAUUUUAGUACGAAAGGAUUAAAUAUUUGAAUUAUUAUAAUUU